UGUCAAUCUGUUCUGGUGGAUCACAUCUUUGUGUUGUUGGAAGUUGCAAGAACUUUUCUGAUAGAUUUCAGCAGAACUAAGAAUUACUUGAUUCUAUUGUUGACUUGAUCUCUGCUUUUUGAAACUUUGGACCAGUCUGCGGGUGAGAUGAGUCUUCUGCUUAUUAACACAAGUAUGAAAAAUAGCUCAUGUUCAAGAUCACAGCAUGCAUAGGAGUCCAAACCAUCUUGAGAUAUUGGACAAAGGAAUUAGAGGUCAGCUGGGCAGAAAAAUGUCAGUGUCUUAUGUCUACGCUGGAUAGAAGAAGAAUUAAGAGACUUAUUGAUUCGAGGAAGAUUUAGACCAGUCACUGAGGAGGAACUAGCAGGAAGAGAUUUUCAAGAGCAACCUGUCUGUAGAGCCCCGGUACAGCAGGGUGCUGGCCUGAAACCAAUGUUCUGUGGGACUGGAGCCAGAAACAGGAUCAGGGUUGCAGGAAGAACCCUGAAAAGAAAGGCUCUUCUUUCAGAAAGUGGAGCUCCAUGAGCUGUCGGCAUCCCAGGGGCAGAGCAGAGGCAGAUUUUGGCUGUGAAGUUGACCCAGCCAAUGCCACGCAGGACAAGGUGGCAUUGAGAAGGUCCACAGCAGCAGCAUGUGUGCUGGAGGGGAACCACAAGCCGUGAAGGAUAGGGCAAAAGUGCCCGCUUCAUAAAUACACAUAAACAAACAAAACAGCUCACCAGCAGACAAAAUUCAGUGCUUCAGUGACCAUGGUUUCUCCUCUGCGAAGGCCCUCCUGUUGCCUUAGAAAAUUAUCAUCCCGUUUACUUAAUUAGGCUGACUCCAAGCUUUAGGCAUCGGCCUGCCAAGAUGAUGCACACAGCGUAUGACACCUGUCAGUUGACUUCAAUGACUGCUCACCACUUCUUCGUGUUCUGCACCUCCCACAAGUCAGCUCCACAGAUGUGUCAGGAACGCUUCCUGAUGACUGCAUUGUAACAAAUGUGCAGGCGUAAGUCUCCUGGAUUUGCAGGAAGUUGUACAGAAUGGUCCAAUAGGUCAUCUUCAUCUCUGGCUUAUGUGGUAAUAAAGGAAUAAUAAAAACGAAGGUUGCAAAGCAUUCUUUCCAUGACUGAAUCAGCUGGCUUUUUUAUGGGCCAGUUAUUCACUGAGCAAUAAAUAUUCAUGGGCUUUUCAGCAAAGACAUGGUGCAUAAUUAGUCUUGAGCGC
rnacentral:lncRNA from 1 species